rnacentral:sRNA from 1 species
GUAAUAUAGGUGGGCUUUUAGAGUGUGUGUAAUUACACAGUGUUUUUACACUGGUCGCAAAAAAUUUAUUUAAUCCAGUAAUAUUUGAAAAAAUCUUUCGUUUGUAUUAUGGGGUGAUGGGAAACUAAGCUUUUUUGUUUUGUUUUGUUUUGUUUUGUUUAGACUUGUUUUAAAUAUUUGAUUCAGAUGGGAAUGUUUCAGCCUUUAACACUGUUCCCCUUGAUGGGGUUAUUUGUCCUUGGGUUAAAGGGUUGGAAAUCGUGCCAAAUGGGAUAACAUUGACGAUGGACUACCAGGGGAGAAGCACAGGGGAGGCCUUCGUGCAGUUUGCUUCAAAGGAGAUAGCAGAAAAUGCUCUGGGGAAACACAAGGAAAGAAUAGGGCACAGGUAUAUUGAGAUCUUCAGAAGUAGCAGGAGUGAAAUCAAAGGAUUUUAUGAUCCACCAAGAAGAUUGCUGGGACAGCGACCGGGACCAUAUGAUAGACCAAUAGGAGGAAGAGGGGGUUAUUAUGGAGCUGGGCGUGGAAGUAUGUAUGACAGAAUGCGACGAGGAGGUGAUGGAUAUGAUGGUGGUUAUGGAGGUUUUGAUGACUAUGGUGGCUAUAAUAAUUACGGCUAUGGGAAUGAUGGCUUUGAUGACAGAAUGAGAGAUGGAAGAGGUAUGGGAGGCCAUGGCUAUGGUGGAGCUGGUGAUGCAAGUUCAGGUUUUCAUGGUGGUCAUUUUGUACAUAUGAGAGGGUUGCCUUUUCGUGCGACUGAAAAUGACAUUGCUAAUUUCUUCUCACCACUAAAUCCAAUACGAGUUCAUAUUGAUAUUGGAGCUGAUGGCAGAGCCACAGGAGAAGCAGAUGUAGAGUUUGUGACACAUGAAGAUGCAGUAGCUGCCAUGUCUAAAGAUAAAAAUAACAUGCAACAUCGAUAUAUUGAACUCUUCUUGAAUUCUACUCCUGGAGGCGGCUCUGGCAUGGGAGGUUCUGGAAUGGGAGGCUACGGAAGAGAUGGAAUGGAUAAUCAGGGAGGCUAUGGAUCAGUUGGAAGAAUGGGAAUGGGGAACAAUUACAGUGGAGGAUACGGUACUCCUGAUGGUUUGGGUGGUUAUGGUCGUGGUGGUGGAGGCAGUGGAGGUUACUACGGGCAAGGCGGCAUGAGUGGAGGUGGAUGGCGUGGGAUGUACUGAAAGCAAAAACACCAACAUACAAGUCUUGACAACAGCAUCUGGUCUACUAGACUUUCUUACAGAUUUCUUUUGUAUUUUAAGAACUUUAUAAUGACUGAAGGAAUGUGUUUUCAAAAUAUUAUUUGGUAAAGCAACAGAUUGUGAUGGGAAAAUCUGUUUUCUGUAGGUUUAUUUGUUGCAUACUUUGACUUAAAAAUAAAUUUUUAUAUUCAAACCACUGAUGUUGAUACUUUUUAUAUACUAGUUACUCCUAAAGAUGUGCUGCCUUCAUAAGAUUUGGGUUGAUGUAUUUUACUAUUAGUUCUACAAGAAGUAGUGUGGUGUAAUUUUAGAGGAUAAUGGUUCACCUCUGCAUAAACUGCAAGUCUUAAGCAGACAUCUGGAAUAGAGCUUGACAAAUAAUUAGUGUAACUUUUUUCUUUAGUUCCUCUUGGACAACACUGUAAAUAUAAAGCCUAAAGAUGAAGUGGCUUCAGGAGUAUAAAUUCAGCUAAUUAUUUCUAUAUUAUUAUUUUUCAAAUGUCAUUUAUCAGGCAUAGCUCUGAAACAUUGAUGAUCUAAGAGGUAUUGAUUUCUGAAUAUUCAUAAUUGUGUUACCUGGGUAUGAGAGUGUUGGAAGUUGAAUUCUAGCCCUAGAUUUUGGAGUAAAAUCCCUUCAGCACUUGACUGAAAUACCAAAAAUGUCUCCAAAAAAUUGAUAGUUGCAGGUUAUCGCAAGAUGUCUUAGAGUAGGGUAAAGGUUCUCGGUGACACAAGAAUUCAGUAUUAAGUACAUAGGUAUUUACUAUGGAGUAUAAUUCUCACAAUUGUAUUUUCAGUUUUCUGCCCAGUAGAGUUUAACUGUAUAAAUGAUGACUUUAAAAAAAUGUAAGCAACAAGUCCAUGUCAUAGUCAAUUAAAACAAUCCUGCAGUUGGGUUUUGUAUCUGAUAUCUGCUUGGAGUUUUAGUUUAAAGAAUCUAUAUGUAGCAAGGAAAAGGUGCUUUUUAAUUUUAAUCCCUUUGAUCAAUAUGGCUUUUUUCCAAAUUGGCUAAUGGAUCAAAAUGAAACCUGUUGAUGUGAAUCCAGUUAUUGAACUUGUUACUUGUUUUUGCCAGAAAUGUUAUUAAUAAAUGUCAAUGUGGGAGAUAA